rnacentral:rRNA from 1 species
GGAAACGGACAGAGCUGGCGUAUCUGGUCUGCAUUCAUCCGUGUGUUCUUGGACGUUUGGAUUGCCACUCUCCAGACUGGGAUGGUGUUCAUUCUGUUCAGGGGCUCAUGGAGCAUUUGCAGGCGGAGUGCGCUGAGAUGCUCGGRGCAGCUGCAUGAGCUUGGCUUUGAGGCCAGCCCUUCGGGGUCUGGUACCCGGGCUGUGGGAGUGCUGUUUGUUCUGGGUGCUGAGUGUGUGCAAUGGCAACGGGUCCGUGUUGGUUUGAGCUGGCGGUCGGUGGCGGUCGCGUGCGACACGUGCCAGCAGUCAGUUCGGUCCUGCUCGGGCUCUCAUUGCAUGUUCUCGGUGUAAAAGCCGGUCAUCUGUCCGACCCGUCUUGAAACACGGACCAAGGAGUUUAGCGUGUGCGCGAGUCAUUGGGAGUUGAAAACCCAAGGGCGUAAUGAAAGUGAAGGUCUCCUUGCGGAGCUGAUGUGUGAUCUCGUGCACUCCGGUGUGCGGGCGCAACAUAGUCCCGUCCCGAUCGCAUGCGAUGGGGCGGAGACAGAGCGUACGCGCUGAGACCCGAAAGAUGGUGAACUAUUCCUGAGCAGGAUGAAGCC